AGAUGCGGUUAACAUCUUCCAUCAGUUGACUUCAAGUAAAGAUUACCCUUGGUAAUGUGAAUGUGCCUCAUCUUAUUAUUUGAACACCUUACGAGAAAGUACAAGUUUUCCACAAAGGAACCUUUCCACAAGACUGCAGUAUUAACUCCCGCCUUCGUUUCCAGCCUGCAGGCCCGCCCUACAGAUCCCGAACUUACUAGCCCCCACAAUUAGUAUUAUCCAGAACUAGAUGAUCGUUCAUUCCCAACUGUGAGAAUGAUGAGACAUGCAGCCUCCCAAAUGCCCAGGAAGAAAAGAAGAACCCAGUAUAUUGACCUCUAGAAGUCAAAAAAUCAUGGCCUCUUCCAAACUGAAGCAGAUGUAAUCAUAUUUGAUUUCAAUCAAAUACUCAAAAACUAAGAUAAGAUAAAGAUUGAGCUCAUCAAGAUCCAGCAAAAAAGCUUCUUUACCAAUAUGAGGAACA
rnacentral:lncRNA from 10 species